UACGUAGGGUGCGAGCGUUAAUCGGAAUUACUGGGCGUAAAGGGCUCGUAGGCGGCCAACUAAGUCAGACGUGAAAUCCCUCGGCUUAACCGGGGAACUGCGUCUGAUACUGGAUGGCUUGAGUUUGGGAGAGGGAUGCGGAAUUCCAGGUGUAGCGGUGAAAUGCGUAGAUAUCUGGAGGAACACCGGUGGCGAAGGCGGCAUCCUGGACCAACACUGACGCUGAGACGCGAAAGCGUGGGGAGCAAACAGG
rnacentral:rRNA from 1 species